GUUUGAUGUUGUUGAGCGGACCUCAAAGGACAAUAACAAGACACUACAGCGUACCUCGAAUACCACCAGAUGCCUCAACCUAGGCUCCUACAACUACCUUGGCUUUGCUGCAGCAGAUGAGUACUGCACACCACGUGUUAUUGAGUCUCUCAAGAAAUACUCAGCAAGUACCUGCAGUGUUCGUGUCGAUGGCGGUACGACCAAGCUUCACAAUGAGCUGGAGGAGUUGCCUGCGCGUUUUGUUGGAAAGCCUGCUGCUAUCCUAUUUGGCAUGUGUUAUGUUACAAACUCUGCCAUCAUUCCAUGCCUAAUUGGAAAGGUUUGAUCAACUGCUUAUAUGUUAUGUAUACAUUUAACUAAAAAUGUGGCUAAACUGAAGUAAUCAUUAUUAUAUAUAAAUUGAGGGAAUGAUUGUUUAUUUUACCUUUUUGCAACAUUCGAGAGUGGACUGAUAAUUAGUGACUCUCUGAAUCAUAACUUAAUUGUCAAUGGCGCAAGAGGAUCCGAUGCAACUGUUAGGGUUUUCCAGCAUAACUCCCCUGCUCAUUUGGAAGAGGUCCUGAGAGAGCAGAUAGCUGGUGGUCAACCACGGACACACAGACCAUGAAAGAAUAUCAUUGUCAUUGUUGAGGGUAUCUAUAGCAUGGAAGGGGAGCUGUGUAAACUCCCUGAGAUUAUAGAUGUCUCCAAGAAAUACAAGGCCUACACAUAUCUGGAUGAGGCCCAUAGCAUUGGUGCUGUUGGGUAGUCUGGCCGCGGUGUUUGUGAGCUCCUUGGGGUUGACCCAGCUGAUGUAGAUAUAAUGAUGGGUACUUUUACCAAGUCUUUUGGAUCAUGUGGUGGAUAUAUUGCCACAU